rnacentral:rRNA from 1 species
GUCGAGCGACAGAUAAGGAGCUUGCUCCUUUGACGUUAGCGGCGGACGGGUGAGUAACACGUGGGUAACCUACCUAUAAGACUGGGAUAACUUCGGGAAACCGGAGCUAAUACCGGAUAACAUUUGGAACCGCAUGGUUCUAAAGUGAAAGAUGGUUUUGCUAUCACUUAUAGAUGGACCCGCGCCGUAUUAGCUAGUUGGUAAGGUAACGGCUUACCAAGGCGACGAUACGUAGCCGACCUGAGAGGGUGAUCGGCCACACUGGAACUGAGACACGGUCCAGACUCCUACGGGAGGCAGCAGUAGGGAAUCUUCCGCAAUGGGCGAAAGCCUGACGGAGCAACGCCGCGUGAGUGAUGAAGGGUUUCGGCUCGUAAAACUCUGUUAUUAGGGAAGAACAAAUGUGUAAGUAACUGUGCACGUCUUGACGGUACCUAAUCAGAAAGCCACGGCUAACUACGUGCCAGCAGCCGCGGUAAUACGUAGGUGGCAAGCGUUAUCCGGAAUUAUUGGGCGUAAAGCGCGCGUAGGCGGUUUCUUAAGUCUGAUGUGAAAGCCCACGGCUCAACCGUGGAGGGUCAUUGGAAACUGGGAAACUUGAGUGCAGAAGAGGAAAGUGGAAUUCCAUGUGUAGCGGUGAAAUGCGCAGAGAUAUGGAGGAACACCAGUGGCGAAGGCGACUUUCUGGUCUGUAACUGACGCUGAUGUGCGAAAGCGUGGGGAUCAAACAGGAUUAGAUA